rnacentral:rRNA from 1 species
AUUGAACGCUAGCGGGAUGCCUUACACAUGCAAGUCGAACGGAGUGGCGAACGGGUGAGUAAUGUAUCGGAACGUGCCCAGUAGCGGGGGAUAACUACGCGAAAGCGUAGCUAAUACCGCAUACUAUUGGAGCGGCCGAUAUCGGAUUAGCUAGGUGGUGGGGUAACGGCUCACCAAGGCGACGAUCCGUAGCUGGUUUGAGAGGACGACCAGCCACACGGGUAUUGUGAAGCGGCCCAGACUCCUACUGGAGGCAGCAGUGUGGAAUUUUGGACAAUGGGGGAAACCCUGAUCCAGCCAUCCCGCGUGUGCGAUGAAGGCCUUCGGGUUGUAAAGCCCGUUUGGCAGGAAAGCGGUACCUGCAGAAUAAGCACCGGAUAACUACGGGCCAGCAGCCGCGGUAAGUC